UUAGUUUUACCCUACUGAUGAGUUCGUUGUCGCGACAGUAAUCCAACUUAGUACGAGAGGAACCGUUGGUUCGGGCAUUUGGUAACGCGGUUGGCUGAACAGCCAAUGCUGCAAAGCUAUCGCCCGUAGGAUUAUGACUGAACGCCUCUAAGUCAGAAUCCCUGCUGGUAUCGACGAUAUUCACUUCGAUCGUGUACCAUGAGUAGCAAUAGCCUCAGGUCAACACCAUACAGUUGCGGCACUGUCUAAAAAAGACACGUACGCAGUCAAAAAAUUCAAAUGAUGAUCGAAAUAAAUCUUUUGUAGACGACUUAAAUAUGAAACGGGGCACUGUAAGUACGAGAGUAGCCUUUGUGCUACGAUCUACUGAGGUUCUUCCCUAGUUUCGCCGAU
rnacentral:rRNA from 1 species